AUUGAACGCUGGCGGCAGGCCUAACACAUGCAAGUCGAACGAGUGGCGGACGGGUGAGUAAUGUCUGGGAAACUGCCUGAUGGCGGGGGCUAACUACUGGAAACGGUAGCUAAUAACGCAUAACAUCAGAUGGGCCCAGAUGGGAUUGGCUUGUUGGUGGGGUAACGGCUCACCAAGGAGACGAUCCCUACCUGGUAUGCGAGGAUGACCGGCCACACUGUAAUGGAGACACGGUCAAGACUCCUACGGGAGGCAGCAUUGGGGAAUAUUGCACAAUGGGCGCAAGCCGGAUGCAGCCAUGCCGCGUGUAGGAAGAAGGCCUUCGGUUUUUAAAGUACUUUCAGCGGGGAGGCGUUACCCGCAGAAGAAGCACCGGCUAACUCCGUGCCAGCAGCCGCGGUAAUUC
rnacentral:rRNA from 1 species